GGUCCCCCAGGACUAGUGCGUGCUUUCCCUGGGGCCUCAGACCACUCCUUAGGGUCGUACGGGGACAGGUGUUGCUGCUUGUCCCUUGCAGGACUAAUGCUAGAGCAGGGAUGUAUUAGGAGCUCUGCAGGAUGUGACUGUGGCAACCCUGAUCAAACUAUGGACCACAUAACAACACUCUGCCCUCGAUACAGAUUUGACAGUGACAUUGCAGAGAUGCAUUCCCUUUCCUCAAGAGCAUUAGACUGAUUAACUCAUUCUAAACUGCAUCAAGUCAGCCAUGCAAAAGAAGAAGAAGGGGUAAUCUUUUGUUCCCUGCUACGGACCAGUCAAGGGAGUUUUGCACUGAGGGCUCAGCAGCUCCGCCUCCUGGCACUGUUCCUCUACUGAUGCACACCGUCAUCGUUCCAGUGAGCUCAAUGGAGCUGUUAUGAGUCAUAGAAGUGGAUCUGCCCCUGGGCUGCACUCGAGCCUUUCCAUUGACUUGGGGCAUGAGUUAACCUCACCUUUGCUCAGCUCCCUCCCUCCUAAGGUUUCAUAGAUUCACAGAUGUUGGGGACUGGAAGGGACCUUACAAGAUCAUCGGGUCCAGCUCCCCUGCAGUUGGCCAGCAAAGAGUGCUGGGAUCAGAUGACCCCAGCAAGAGUUUGCGGGAACCGGCCCCCUUCUCGGAUGAGAUCGAAAUCGAUUACAGCAAGCCAUACGCCAGAGUGACGUUCGAGGAGGCGCUGAGAGGAACCCCGUUGGAUCGGCCGGUCAGGGUCUACGCUGAUGGGAUAUUCGACUUGUUUCACUCCGGACAUGCCCGGGCUUUGAUGCAAGCUAAGAACCUCUUCCCCAACACAUACCUCAUUGUGGGAGGUAAGGCGAGAUCUGUUACCUUGAGAAGACCUUCCUGCAUCUUCCCUGUCCUUCCCCAGCAGGUGACGCCCUGCUUUGGGCUCUCUGCCUCAAAGGGCAGCCACGUGGCAGUGCCUCGCCCUUUAGCUUUGAGUUCAGCUCAGCACAGCGUGUGCAUGGGACACUGAGGGGCAAAUAAUAGGCCUGAACAUAAAGAUUAAAUCCUGAAAUUGUGAAAUUGUUUCUGGGAGGGAAAGACUCUCUGUUCCAACUGAGUUCAUUGAACCUGUCAUCUCAGUAUUGCAUGCCAAGUGCUAGGCAGAGCUGAGCUGCUGAAUACUGAGCCAUAAAAAGAGGCAUUCGGCUACUAUCUGUAAACCAGGAGCAGCAGAGGAGGGAAGAACUGUUUCUGUACAUGUAGCUGAGCCAACGUGGGAUGAGUUUUACUGUGAGAGUCAGUCCUAGCGUUCUGCUGGCUUCACCUUGUGAUGGUUUUGGAAUUCAUAGAACCAUAGGGGAAUGGGGCUGGAAGGGAUCUCCAGAGGUCACAUCUAAUCCAACCCCCUGCCUGAGGCAGGAUCAGCCCUGUCCAAACCAUCAUGUACAAAUCCA